rnacentral:lncRNA from 1 species
AACUGACCUGUGAAUGAUAGUUCUGCCCCUAUGAGAGUAAGUUUGUUGCAAAGGAGUACGUGCAUAACACAAUCGUUUGAGCUCCAAAUGAGGCACCGUUAGAAGCUAUGGUUUCGUAGUGGCAUGGGGGAUCAGCUAGGAUCCAAAUUCUGAGAUGUCGUCUCUUCAAUAAGGUGGGUUGGUUUAAGGGGGUAAUAUCUUGUCU